rnacentral:rRNA from 1 species
UUNUGGUAUAGACCUGCUCAUGAAAAUUAAAUAGCCGCAGAAUUAUCUGUGCUAAGGUAGCAUAAUCAUUUGUCUUCCAAUUAAAGACUAGAAUGAAAGGUUAAACGAAUAAAGAACUCUAAAAACAACACUACAAUGAACUUAUAUUUAAUGUAAAAAUACACUAAUUACACAAAAAGACGACAAGACCCUGUCGAACUUAACUAAAGUUAUACUGGGACAGUUUUUUUAUAACCAUUUUACAUCACUAACAAAUAUCAAUCACCCAUUUUAAAAGAAAUAAAAGUUACCGCAGGGAUAACAGCGCAAUUUAUUUCUAAAGCUCUUAUAUAAAAAUAAGAUUACGACCUCGAUGUUGAAUUAAUUAAUCAAAUAAAAGCAAAACUUUAUAGUGAAUGUCUGUUCGACAUUUAAAUAAUUACAUGAUCUGAGUCAAAACCGGAGA